rnacentral:rRNA from 1 species
UACGUAGGGGGCUAGCGUUGUCCGGAUUUAUUGGGCGUAAAGAGCGUGUAGGCGGCCAAGUAGGUCCGGUGUGAAAACUCGAGGCUUAACCUCGAGAUGUCAUCGGAAACCAUUUGGCUAGAGUCCGGAAGAGGAAAGUGGAAUUCCUGGUGUAGCGGUGAAAUGCGCAGAUAUCAGGAGGAACACCGAUGGCGAAGGCAGGUCUCUGGGCAUUAACUGACGCUGAGGCGCGAAAGCUAGGGGAGCGAACAGG